rnacentral:rRNA from 1 species
CGCUGGCGGCAGGCUUAACACAUGCAAGUCGGACGGGCGUAGCAAUACGUCAGUGGCAGACGGGUGAGUAACACGUGGGAACCUUCCUAGGGGUACGGAACAACUCAGGGAAACUUGAGCUAAUACCGUAUACGUCCGUAAGGAGAAAGUUUCAUCGCCCCUAGACGGGCCCGCGUCGGAUUAGGUAGUUGGUGGGGUAACGGCCUACCAAGCCUACGAUCCGUAGCUGAUCUGAGAGGAUGAUCAGCCACACUGGGACUGAGAUACGGCCCAGACUCCUACGGGAGGCAGCAGUGGGGAAUCUUGGACAAUGGGCGCAAGCCUGAUCCAGCCAUGCCGCGUGAGUGAAGAAGGCCUUAGGGUUGUAAAGCUCUUUUACCAGGGACGAUAAUGACGGUACCUGGAGAAUAAGCCCCGGCAAACUUCGUGCCAGCAGCCGCGGUAAUACGAAGGGGGCUAGCGUUGUUCGGAAUUACUGGGCGUAAAGCGCACGUAGGCGGGUCGUUAAGUCAGGGGUGAAAUCCCGGAGCUCAACUCCGGAACUGCCUUUGAUACUGGCGAUCUAGAGGUCGAGAGAGGUGAGUGGAAUUCCGAGUGUAGAGGUGAAAUUCGUAGAUAUUCGGAAGAACACCAGUGGCGAAGGCGGCUCACUGGCUCGAUACUGACGCUGAGGUGCGAAAGCGUGGGGA